rnacentral:misc_RNA from 1 species
AAAAACAUUAAGGCAAGCUCACUUUUGAUCUGGAUCAGUCUCAAUUUUACAAAAGCAAAUACAUGUAUUAGGAUACAGUUCAAGGCGAUCCUGAGAUAAAAUGAAAAAGCUUUGUUUCUCUGCAAUACAGUAAAAUCAUGUAUGUCUUUUGAUUUCUGACUGAUUCCAUUUGUAUAAAUUAUACAUGAAUUGCCAAUCUUUUUCUGCUUAGCACAUUACAGUACUGGUACUUUAAUAAAGUUUGCUGUAGAUUUGUAGCUCCACAGGAAAAACCAGGUUGCGAGACAGUUGACUACUGACUGUCAACCCGAAUUUUUUAGGAGAGCUACAGAUCUGCCAAAAAUAAUGUUACAUGUAUCUGAUUUUAUGAAUAACAUAAAGCAAUGCUGUGUACAUACUUUUAAUUCAACAACAGACUUCAUAAAGCCACAGUUUACAUCCACUGCUUGCAGGGUACCAAUACUUAGAAGCUGACAGUGUUCUGUUAAUUCAGUGUGCAUUUCAUGCUAAAAGUUCACAUGCAUUUGCAUAUACUAAUUAUUAAUACAUUAAAGAGUGUAUAAACUAUCGUAUUCAUGAAUGGAUGUUAAUUAUUAUAUUCAACAAUUCUUGUAAUCAUAUUUAUACAUUUUAACAAAUUAAAAAUUUUAUUGUAUGUUGAUUUUUUUCCCAAUUUGAUUGAUGAUUAAAAGUAUAUUUUAUA